ensembl:miRNA
UAUUAGGUUGAUGCAAAAGUAAUUGCAGUUUUUGCUAUUUAAAUUUAUGGUAAAAACUUCAGUUACUUUUACACCAACAUAAUA